UCAUUAUUUUCUUCGACUGCCGAUUCACUCCCUUUAGAACUACAGCUAUUCUCCGCUACAGGAAUGCAUCAUCCACGUUGAGCUGGAAAAACCAGCCAACGGCAGCCUGGGAUUUGCUUUGGUCGGUGGCCGGAAUGGCCGGGCCAUCUUGAUAAAGGCCAUCAGCCCAGGCAGCGUGGCUGAUUGUGACGGAAGACUGCAUGUGGGAGACAUCUUACUGAAGGUGAACGGGCACCUUGUGUCUGGGCUGACACGCAAUACGGUGAUAGACAUUUUGCGCAAAACUCACGGUUCGAUACAGCUGACUGUUUGCCGGAGCGCAGCGCUUCACUGGGCUUCCCAGUGGGAUGAAUCUCCGUUACAGAAUGAAUCGACACUGCUUGAUGAAUAUGGUGGAAGAGCAGUGCUAAGAUCCCAGACAGACUUCACUUUCCAAGACCUUGAAGAAUCCGGUCAGAUGAACAACCAGG